rnacentral:tRNA from 1 species
CCAAAGGGCCUAUAGCUCAGUUGGUUAGAGCACACGCCUGAUAAGCGUGAGGUCGGUGGUUCAAGUCCAUUUAGGCCC